GUCUACAGCCAUGCCACCCUGAUCUCGGAAGCUAAGCAGGGUCGGGCCUGGUUAAUACUUGGAUGGGAGACCACCUAGGAAGACCAGGUGCUGUAGGUG
rnacentral:rRNA from 1 species